rnacentral:rRNA from 1 species
UCCUACGGGGGGCAGCAGUGAGGAAUAUUGGUCAAUGGGCGGGAGCCUGAACCAGCCAAGUCGCGUGAGGGAAGACGGUCCUAUGGAUUGUAAACCUCUUUAGGCGGGGAGCAAUGCCGAGCACGCGUGUCCGGAGGGAGAGUACCCGCAGAAUAAGCAUCAGCUAACUCCGUGCCAGCAGCCGCGGUAAUACGGAGGAUGCGAGCGUUAUCCGGAUUUAUUGGGUUUAAAGGGUGCGUAGGCGGAUUUUUAAGUCAGCGGUAAAAUGUCCGGGCUCAACCCGGGCCGGCCGUUGAAACUGGGGG